GCUUGCUUUUCCUGAUGACGAGUGGCGGACGGGUGAGUAAAGUUUGGGAAGCUACCUGAUAGAGGGGGACAACAGUUGGAAACGACUGCUAAUACCGCAUACAGCCUGAGGGUGAAAGCAGCAAUGCGCUAUCAGAUGCGCCCAAAUGGGAUUAGCUAGUAGGUGAGGUAAAGGCUCACCUAGGCGACGAUCUCUAGCUGGUCUGAGAGGAUGAUCAGCCACAUUGGGACUGAGACACGGCCCAGACUCCUACGGGAGGCAGCAGUAGGGAAUAUUGCACAAUGGAGGAAACUCUGAUGCAGCCAUGCCGCGUGUGUGAAGAAGGCCUUCGGGUUGUAAAGCACUUUCGGAGGGGAGGAGAAUGACGUUACCCUCAGAAGAAGCACCGGCUAACUCCGUGCCAGCAGCCGCGGUAAUACGGAGGGUGCAAGCGUUAAUCGGAAUAACUGGGCGUAAAGGGCAUGCAGGCGGUUAAACAAGUAGGAUGUGAAAUCCCCGGGCUCAACCUGGGAGCUGCAUACUAAACUGUUUAACUAGAGUAUUGCAGGGGGAGACGGAAUUCCAGGUGUAGCGGUGGAAUGCGUAGAUAUCUGGAAGAACACCAAAGGCGAAGGCAGUCUCCUGGGCAAAUACUGACGCUCAUAUGCGAAAGCGUGGGUAGCAAACAGGAUUAGAUACCCUGGUAGUCCACGCCGUAAACGAUGUCAAUUAGGAGCUUGUGCGAUAGUAUGGGUUCCGCAGCAAACGCGAUAAAUUGACCGCCUGGGGAGUACGGCCGCAAGGUUAAAACUCAAAUGAAUUGACGGGGGCCCGCACAAGCGGUGGAGCAUGUGGUUUAAUUCGACGCAACGCGAAGAACCUUACCUGACCUUGACAUAGUGAGAACCUCUCUGAAGGGAGAGGGUGCCUUCGGGAGCUCACAUACAGGUGCUGCA
rnacentral:rRNA from 1 species